CAAUCUCUUGACCUCGUGAUCCGCCUGUCUUGGCCUCCCAAAGUGUUGAGGUUACAGGCGUGAGCCACUGCACUGGGCUACCACCCAGCCACUUGGUUCCUCUGGGUGACAAGAUUCAACAUGUCCCUGAGGCUAGGGAAUUUCUGUUCAGAGCAGGGAGACCCUAUCAUCAGAGAGGAGCCUCCCACUUCAGGAAUCCUGAGGCCCAUGGAGCCUGGGUACCCUCUCUACUCUUCUCCCAGAAGGUAUUUGCCCCAGGCACUUUGCAGACCAACCAGGAAGCAUGGCAGAAGGCCAGGAAUGGCUGGGGGCUGGUGGGAAGGAUCAGGCCUGGCCCAGGCAUUGCUGCUCUAGGGUCUCAAGGGUUCCCUGUCACUUUGGCCAUUCUUCUGUUGCUAGUGUUCCUGGGCCCUUGGCAGCUGGGAUCAUUGCGGCCUCCCCACUGGGGGUGCUGGGGCCAGUCCUAGCCAGGGCAGAGAGUGGGUCAGCCGUCUCAGCUCCUUGAGUGGUUGGUGCUGGUACUGGUCUCAUGGUUUUAGACCUGGCACCCAGUGGGUAUGGGGAGCCGUGGGCACCUGUGGGCCUACUUAUGGAAGUCAUCCUCUUCCCUUAUCAGGUACUGCCAACCCUGUGGUGCAGCUGCUGCCUCAGUUUCCCUUUGUGUUCCAGGUCCCCACUGUGGCAGUUGCUCUUCCCUGAGAUCCAGCCAGUGGAGCCGAGUCCCUGGUGUCUUGCUGACUUCCUGCCAGCCCCUGAACCCAGAACUCUCUCUUUCCCUUGGCCACUGGCUAGGAGCCUCUACCACUGAAAAAACUCAGUUUCCUAGCCAGGUGCAGUGGCUCACGCCUGUAACCUCAGCACUUUGGUAGGCUGAGGCAGGAGGAUCGCUUGAGAACAGGAGUUUGAGACCAGCCUGGGCAACAUAGUGAGACCCCACCUCUAAAAAAAAAAAAAAAAGCCAGGCAUGGUGGUGCAUGCCUGUAGUCCCAGCUACUUGGGGGGAUUACUUGAGCCUGGGAGGUUGAGGCUGCAGUGAGCUAUGAGGGGUGCCACUGUACUCCAGCCUGGGAGACAGAGUAUGACCCUGUCUCAGUAACCAAAACCAAAACCAAACAAACAAACAAAAAAGGAAAAAACCCUCAUUUUCCUUCCCUGUUAAUAUGGGUGAUAAUGCCCACUCUAUAGAGUUGUUGGAAGGCAUACUGAUAGCAUUUUUACGCAUUUGACACUCCCUGGUAGAUAGCAGGUGCUCAGUAAAAAGUGACAAUGGGCUGGGCUGGGUGGCUUAACAACACACAUUUCUCUCUCACAAUUCCAAGAUUGAGGAACCAGCAGAUUGGUGUCUGGUGAGGGCCCACUUCCUGGUUUGUGGAUGGCUGUCUUCUCCCUGUAUCCUCACAUGAUGGGGAGUGAUAUAGUUUGGCUCUGUGUCCCCCGCUUAAAUCUCAUGUCGAGACCAGGUGCAGUGGCUCACACCUGUAAUCCCAGCACUUUGGGAGGCCGAGGUGGGCGGAUCACCUGAGGCCAGGACUUUGAGAUUAGCCUGGACCACAUGGUGAAACCCUGUCUCCACUAAAAAUACAAAAUUAGCCGCGUGUAGUGGUGGGCGCCUGUAAUCCCAGUUACUUAGGAGGCUGAGGCAGGAGAAUCGCUUGAACCUGGGAGGCAGAAGUUGCAGUGAGCCCAGAUGGCGCCACUACACUCCAGCCUGGGUGACAGAGUGAAACUGUGUCUCAAAAAAAAACAAAAAAAGAAAAAAAAAGAGGUUUCAUGUCAAAUUGUAAUCCCCAGUGUUGGAGGUGGGGCCUGGUAGGAGGUGAUUAAAUCAUGGGGUGGAUUUCUCAUGAAUGGGCUGGCACCAUCCCCUCCAUGCUGUUUUCAUGGUAGGUUAUCAUGAGCUCUGCUUGUUUAAAAGUGAGUAGCACCUCCCCACCUCUCUCUCAUCCUCUUGCUCUGACCAUGUGAGAUGUGCAUGCUUCCCCUUUACCUUCCACCAUGAUUGUAAGUUUCCUGAGACCUCCCCAGAAGCUAAGCAGAUGUCAGAAUCAUGAGUCCUGUACAGCCUGUGGAACGUGAGCCAAUUAAAACUCUUUUCUUGGCUGGGUGUGGUGGCUCACACCUGUAAUCCCAGCAUUUUGGGAGGCCAAGGUGGGUGGAUCACCUGAGGUCAUGAGUUCGAGACCAGCCUGGGCAACAUGGUGAAACCCCCGUCUCUACUAAAAAUACAAAAAUUUGCUGGACGUGGUGGCAGAUGCCUGUAAUCCAGCUACUCAGGAGGCUGAGGCAGGAGAAUGGCUUGAACCCAGGAGGUGGAGGUGGCAGUGAGCCAAGAUCGUGCCAUUGCACUCUUGCCUGGGUGACGACAGUGAAACUCCAUCUCCAAGAACAAAACAAAACACCCCUCUUUUCUUUAUAAAUUACCCAGUCUCAGGUUUUUCUUUAUAGCAGUGCCAGAAUGGACCAAGACAGGGAGAGAGGAAGCAAGCUCUGUGAUGACUCUUCUCGAAAGGCUGCUAAUCCCAUCAAGUGAAUUCCACCCUUAUAACCUCAUCUCAACGUGAUCACCUCCCAAACUUCUUGCCUCCAAAUACCAUCACAUUGGGAGUUAGGAGUUUGACAUAUGAAUUUUGGAGAGUCCACAAACAUUCUGCCUGUAACACUAGAAAUGAAAUUUUGAUUUCAUUUUAUCUAUUUGUUUGAGACAGAGUCUUGCUGUUGCCCAGGCUGCCAGUGCAGUGGCGUGAUCUCGGCUCACUGCAACCUCCACCUCCCAGGUUCAAAUGAUUCUCCUGACUCAGCCUCCUGAAUAGUUGGGACUAUAGGCACCCACCACCAUGCCUGGCUAAUGUUUUUUGUAUUUUUAGUAGAGACAAGGUUUCACCAUGUUGGCCAGCCUGGUCUUGAACUCCUGACCUCAAGUGAUCCUCCCACCUCGGCCUCCCAAAGUGCUGGGAUUACAGGGUGAGCCAGCGAACUUGGCCUUCCUUUAAUUUUAAUCAAUUUAAAUGUAAAGAGCUGCAUGUAGCUAGGAGCUACUGAAUUGGACAGCACAGCCUUAAGGAGAGUGGAAAUCAGCUGAAUCCAGUUGAAACAGGAGUUAAAUCAGUUGGAGCCAGCCAACAUUGGAUGACCUUGGCUGAAACCACCUGAAACUGGUUGAAAGGAGCCACAAACUGUUCACAACCAGCUGAAGCUGAAUUAACCUGGCUGAAACUGGAUGAAGUCAUUUGAAACCAGCUGAAACUGGAUCAAACCAGCUGGCAGUGGUUGAAACCAGAUGAAAUCAUUUAAGUAGGGUUUGUCAUAUUAUUUUGCUUCUUGAUGAACUAGUCCUGGGUUUUUUUUGUUUGUUUGUUUUUUGUUUUUUUUUUGAGAGAGAGUCUUGCUGUGUCGCUCAGGCUGGAGUGCAGUGGUGAGAUUUCAGCUCACUGCAACCUUCUCCUCCAGGAUUAAAGUGAUCUUCCUGCCUCAGCCUCCUGAGUAGCUGGGAUUACAGGAGUGCACCACCACUCCCGACUAAUUUUUUUAUUUUUAGUAGAGACAGGGUUUCAUCAUGCUGGCCAGGUUGGUCUCAAGCUCCUGACCUCAGGUGAUCCACCAUCUUGGCCUCCCAAAGUUCUGGUAUUACAGGCAUGAGCCCUGGUGCCCAGCAGCAUAAACAUUUAGUUUUAUUCUAACAAGGUAGCUUGUACAUUUUAAGAUAUAAAACUGAACAUCUUUUUUCCUCUCCAGAGAAACAUAAGGAAAACCAAGGAACUUUUUACAACAAACAUUUUUAAACAUUUACAAAAGUAGACAGAAGAGUACAGUGAACCCCUGUGGACCCACUGCCCAGCUUAAAUAGCAAUCAGGAUUUUGCCAAUGUGCUCCAAACUAUCCUCCCCUUCCCCUCUUUUUCUUGGCUGGGAUGUUUUAAAGCAAAUCCUAGAUAUGUAGUAAAAAGAAAAUGUAAAAGUAAAACAGAACAAAAAUUACAAUGCAGAAUACCAUUUCCAAAUAAGAUCUGGCCAGGCGCGGUGGCUCACGCCUGUAAUCCCAGCACUUUGGGAGGCUGAGGCGGGCAGAUCACAUGAGGUCAGGAGUUCAAGACCAGCCUGGCCAACACGGCGAAAUGCCGUCUCUAUUAAAAAUACAAAAAUUAGGCCAGGCGCGGUGGCUCACACCUGUAAUCCCAGCACUUUGGGAGGCCAAGGCGGGCGGAUCAUGAGGUCAGGAGAUUGAGACCAUCUUGGCUAACAUGGUGAAACCCCAUCUCUACUAAAAAUAC
rnacentral:lncRNA from 1 species